rnacentral:rRNA from 1 species
UGGGGAAUUUUGGACAAUGGGCGAAAGCCUGAUCCAGCAAUGCCGCGUGUGUGAAGAAGGCCUUCGGGUUGUAAAGCACUUUUGUCCGGAAAGAAAUCCUUGGCUCUAAUACAGUCGGGGGAUGACGGUACCGGAAGAAUAAGCACCGGCUAACUACGUGCCAGCAGCCGCGGUAAUACGUAGGGUGCAAGCGUUAAUCGGAAUUACUGGGCGUAAAGCGUGCGCAGGCGGUUUGCUAAGACCGAUGUGAAAUCCCCGGGCUCAACCUGGGAACUGCAUUGGUGACUGGCAGGCUAGAGUAUGGCAGAGGGGGGUAGAAUUCCACGUGUAGCAGUGAAAUGCGUAGAGAUGUGGAGGAAUACCGAUGGCGAAGGCAGCCCCCUGGGCCAAUACUGACGCUCAUGCACGAAAGCGUGGGGAGCAAACAGGAUUAGAUACCCUGGUAGUCCACGCCCUAAACGAUGUCAACUAGUUGUUGGGGAUUCAUUUCCUAGUAACGUAGCUAACGCGUGAAGUUGACCGCCUGGGGAGUACGGUCGCAAGAUUAAAACUCAAAGGAAUUGACGGGGUCAAAGCUGUUCCU